AAAUGAAUAGACGGGGGCCCGCACAAGCGGUGGAGCAUGUGGUUUAAUUCGAUGGUACGCGAGGAACCUUACCAGGGCUUGACAUGGGGCGGAGCGGGCGUGAAAGCGUCCGGCCCUUCGGGGCCGUCCCACAGGUGCUGCAUGGUUGUCGUCAGCUCGUGCUGUGAAGUGUUGGGUUAAGUCCCGCAACGAGCGCAACCCCUGCCGUCUGUUGCCAGCAAGUGAAGUUGGGGACUCAGGCGGAACUGCCGGUGACAAACCGGAGGAAGGUGGGGACGACGUCAAAUCAUCAUGGCCUUUAUGUCCUGGGCCACACACGUGCUACAAUGGCCGGUACAGAGCGCAGCGAAGCCGCGAGGCAAAGCGAAUCGCCCAAAGCCGGUCUCAGUACGGAUUGGAGUCUGAAACUCGACUCCAUGAAGUUGGAAUCGCUAGUAAUCGCGCAUCAGCAUGGCGCGGUGAAUACGUUCCCGGGCCUUGUACACACCGCCCGU
rnacentral:rRNA from 1 species